rnacentral:rRNA from 1 species
UACGAAGGUUGCAAGCGUUACUCGGAAUUACUGGGCGUAAAGCGUGCGCAGGCGGUUUUGUAAGUCUGUCGUGAAAGCCCCGGGCUCAACCUGGGAAUUGCGAUGGAGACUGCAAGGCUUGAAUCUGGCAGAGGGGGGUAGAAUUCCACGUGUAGCAGUGAAAUGCGUAGAGAUGUGGAGGAACACCGAUGGCGAAGGCAGCCCCCUGGGUCAAGAUUGACGCUCAUGCACGAAAGCGUGGGGAGCAAACAGG